rnacentral:rRNA from 1 species
GACGAACGCUGGCGGCGUGCUUAACACAUGCAAGUCGAACGGAAAGGCCCUGCUUUUGUGGGGUGCUCGAGUGGCGAACGGGUGAGUAACACGUGAGUAACCUGCCCUUGACUUUGGGAUAACUUCAGGAAACUGGGGCUAAUACCGGAUAGGAGCUCCUGCUGCAUGGUGGGGGUUGGAAAGUUUCGGCGGUUGGGGAUGGACUCGCGGCUUAUCAGCUUGUUGGUGGGGUAGUGGCUUACCAAGGCUUUGACGGGUAGCCGGGCUGAGAGGGUGACCGGACAAAUUGGGACUGAGAUGCGGCCCAGACUCCUACGGGAGGCAGCAGUGGGGAAUAUUGCACAAUGGGCGGAAGCCUGAUGCAGUCACGCCGCGUGGGGGAUGACGGCAUUCGGGUUGUAAACCGCUUUCGCCUGUGAUGAAGAGUGAGUGACGGUAAUUGGUAAAGAAGCACCGGCUAACUACGUG